rnacentral:rRNA from 1 species
AUUGAACGCUGGCGGCAUGCUUUACACAUGCAAGUCGAACGGUAACAGGCCGCAAGGUGCUGACGAGUGGCGAACGGGUGAGUAAUGCAUCGGAACGUGCCCAGUCGUGGGGGAUAACGCAGCGAAAGCUGCGCUAAUACCGCAUACGAUCUAUGGAUGAAAGCGGGGGACCGUAAGGCCUCGCGCGAUUGGAGCGGCCGAUGUCAGAUUAGGUAGUUGGUGGGGUAAAGGCUCACCAAGCCAACGAUCUGUAGCUGGGCUGAGAGGACGACCAGCCACACUGGGACGGAGACACGGCCCAGACUCCUACGGGAGGGAGCAGUGGGGAAUUUCGGACAAUGGGCGCAAGCCUGAUCCAGCAAUGCCGCGUGCAGGAAGAAGGCCUGCGGGUUGUAAACUGCUUUUGUACGGAACGAAACGGUCCUGGUUAAUACCUGUGGCUAAUGACGGUACCGUAAGAAUAAGCACCGGCUAACUACGUGCCAGCAGCCGCAGUAACAC